UUCAACCACACAACCCCGCUUCUUUCAACAUCCAAAGAAAACACAUGGGCAGAACAAUACGUUUCCAUGAGUAUUAUAAUAGCCCAGUUAGUUCGAAAUAAGAGCAGAAUAACUAUAUUUGACAAUCGGCUAUGUCUACUCAAAGUCAAGACACAAUACCGUGGUGCGAAAUGCAGUGACCUAACCAUCAAACAUCUGCAUAGCCAUGCAUCUGGAAUUUCAAUACAUGGAGGACCGUGCUUGAAUACCCGUCCCUCAAGACUAAAAUAUGAGCGCUCCCUAUUAUGAAUGACCUUUUGUGUUCAAUUUAAGUAUAACUACCCAGGUUCCUGGAGCCAUGGACAAACAUCUCCUGUCCCCACCCCCAACCAUUUUUCCUCUACCUUUGGAAAUUGCCCUCAUCAAUUCAGACACAAUUUCAGCUCAGAUGCUAGACAUGGAGCCAGCUCUGAACGUGACCAGACCAAUAGGGCUCUGCCUGAGGGAGCGGCAAGGCCACAGAGCGGCCAAACCGAGCCUGCGCUGCUGCGACUGACAGACGGGCCGGUCUGUCUGCUCUCGACUUGGGGGUCUGUUGCGGGAGAGGCCCCCUCGAGACCACCACAUCUGGAUCCUGCUUGGGGUCAAGGCUUCUCCUGCCUGAGGCCAGUUCAGCUUCGUGUAAUUAAGGGAGACACCUUGUUUAACUAUUUAGUGGCCGUAACUUUUUCUAAUUCAACAUUCCACUGUUUUGGUUUUGUAUUGGAUUUCGUUCAUUUUAGUUCAAAAUAAAAGUAGGGCGAAUGA